CAGAGUUCAUGCCCUCACGGGUAGAUCUCCCACCCUGUGUUAUUAUACUUUGUUGCUUUGGCAGGCCGCCCGCGUGGGCUACCGGCUCCAGCUGGUAAGUGCCUGCCAGAGGACCCCAAACUCUGAAUAUUUUAUUGUCUGAGUACUAUAUAAUAGUUUA
rnacentral:misc_RNA from 1 species